GGAGCAGAAGCUGAAGGACAAGCUACGGGAGACCAUGCAGUGCUGGGAUGCGGAAAAACUGGAACUCAAUUCCAGACCAUGGAGCUGACGGAUGCACUGAAGCAACUCCCCAGCCAAAACAGCGAGAAGGACGCUAGCCUGGACAGAAUGGAGACGAGCAGAAGCAAAGACAAAGGAGAGAUGGAAGUCUUCCAGGCUGAAAACCAAGCCCUUCAGAAAGUAGUCAGCGAAGUUCAUC